AUGGCCUGGAUGGAGUGGCCGGGGUCCGGAUCCACGUACUCAGAGCCGUCGUGGAAGGGGACGGCCUUGGGACGAGGGUCGGCCAGGACGGCACGGUUGAUCUCAGCGCCGGUGAUGUCAUCGAUGUCCGGGUUGAGGGAUUUCAUCCAGCCCAGCAUGUGGUCGAAGGACCGAUUCUCCCGAACCACCACCGCCGCCGUCUUGAUAUUGCCCGCCAUUUUCACUAGUUUGUUGCUCUUGAUCUCCCUAGGUGUAUUCUCCCGAUCUAUAGCUCUUGAUUUGUGGCUUGCUAGCGAGCUGCGAGCUGGAGAGAACCAAGGCGAACAGUGA
rnacentral:rRNA from 1 species